UGCGUCCCUUCACACGGCCGUUUAAGG
rnacentral:piRNA from 2 species